UCCCUGGUAGCUCAGUCGGUAGAGCGGAUGACUGUUAAUCAUUAGGUCGGCGGUUCGAGCCCGUCCCGGGGAGCCA
rnacentral:tRNA from 1 species